UGAGGAAUUUUGGACAAUGGGCGAAAGCCUGAUCCAGCUCUAUCGCGUGGGUGAUGAAGACUGUCUUGGUUGUAAAACCCUUUACUUUUUUGGAGAUUAUGACAAACAAGGAGAAAAAAGUCCCGGCCAAUUUCGUGCCAGCAGCCGCGGUAAUACGAGAGGGGCAAGCGUUAUUCGGAAUGAUUGGGCGUAAAGUGCACGUAGGCUGUUUAGAAAAUCAGAAAUAAAAAACUCAAAGCUUGACUUUGAGAGUUGUUUUUAUGAUUCCUAAACUUGAGUAAGUAAGAGGAGAAUGGAAUUCCUGGCGUAGAGGUAAAAUUUGUUGAUAUCAGGAGGAACACCAAAAGCGAAGGCAUUUCUCUGGGGCUUUACUGACGUUGAGGUGCGACAGCGUGGGGAUCAAAAG
rnacentral:rRNA from 1 species